ensembl:misc_RNA Y_RNA Y RNA
AACUAGUCUGAAGGUAGUGAGAUAUCUCCGUUGAUUGUUCACAGUCAAAGACUGAAUUCUUUGGUCUACUUUUUCCCCCCUUCUCACUACUGAUCUUGACUAGUCUUAA